AAAUCCGCUUUGAUAAUGCUGGGAUGUGAUGGGGAGCGAAAUUUAGUAGCGAAGUAGCUGAUUUCACACUGUCAAGAAAAGUCUCUAUCGAGGUUAAAGGUACCCGUACCGCAAACCGACACAGGUGGGUGAGGAGAGUAUCCUAAGGCCAGCGAGAGAACUGUUGUUAAGGAACUCGGCAAAAUGACCCCGUAACUUAGGGAUAAGGGGUGCCACCAUCAGGUGGCCGCAGAGAAUAGGCCCAAGCGACUGUUUACCAAAAACAUAGGUUUCUGCUAAGUCGCAAGACGAUGUAUAGGAGCUGACGCCUGCCCGGUGCUGGAAGGUUAAGGGGAUCUGUUAGAGCAAUCGAAGCAGUGAACUUAAGCCCCAGUAAACGGCGGCCGUAACUAUAACGGUCCUAAGGUAGCGAAAUUCCUUGUCGGGU
rnacentral:rRNA from 1 species